GUGCAUGCUCAUAGCGUAUAUUAAGUUGCUGCAGUUAAAAAGCUCGUAGUUGAACUUUGGGCCUGGUUGGCCGGUCCGAUUUUUUCGUGUACUGGUUUCCAACCGGGCCUUUCCUUCUGGCUAACCUUGGGUCCUUGUGGCCCUUGGCGAACCAGGACUUUUACUUUGAAAAAAUUAGAGUGUUCAAAGCAGGCGUAUUGCUCGAAUAUAUUAGCAUGGAAUAAUAGAAUAGGACGUUUGGUUCUAUUUUGUUGGUUUCUAGGACCAUCGUAAUGAUUAAUAGGGACGGUCGGGGGCAUCAGUAUUCAAUCGUCAGAGGUGAAAUUCUUGGAUUUAUUGAAGACUAACUACUGCGAAAGCAUUUGCCAAGGACGUUUUCAUUAAUCAAGAACGAAAGUUAGGGGAUCGAAGACGUA
rnacentral:rRNA from 1 species